UACACUCCUGCGGGAGGCAGCAGUGGGGAAUAUUGGACAAUGGGCGCAAGCCUGAUCCAGCCAUGCCGCGUGAGUGAUGAAGGCCCUAGGGUUGUAAAGCUCUUUCACCGGUGAAGAUAAUGACGGUAACCGGAGAAGAAGCCCCGGCUAACUUCGUGCCAGCAGCCGCGGUAAUACGAAGGGGGCUAGCGUUGUUCGGAUUUACUGGGCGUAAAGCGCACGUAGGCGGACUAUUAAGUCAGGGGUGAAAUCCCGGGGCUCAACCCCGGAACUGCCUUUGAUACUGGUAGUCUUGAGUUCGAGAGAGGUGAGUGGAAUUCCGAGUGUAGAGGUGAAAUUCGUAGAUAUUCGGAGGAACACCAGUGGCGAAGGCGGCUCACUGGCUCGAUACUGACGCUGAGGUGCGAAAGCGUGGGGAGCAAACAGGAUUAGAUACCCUUGUAGGCCCAUGAU
rnacentral:rRNA from 1 species